ACGUUCGGGUAAUCGCUGCAAUUUUUAUUGUAGAGGAAAGUCCAUGCUCGCACUGGCUGAGAUGCCGGUAGUGUUCGUGCCUAGCGAAGUCAUAAGCUAGGGCAGUGUCAAAGCUGACGGCAGGGAAAACACCUAAGUCAAUCGUUGAUAUGGUGUGAAUACCUUGAAAGUGCCACAGUGACGUAGCCUUUUCAGAAAUGAAAAGGGUGGAACGAGGUAAACCCCACGAGUGAGAAACCCAAAUUAUGGUAGGGGCACUUUCUCUGAGAAAAUGAACGAAGAGAAGGACAAACAUAUAUAUGUUUGUAGAUAGAUGAUUACCACCUAUGUACGAGACUGAAGUCGUUUGCAGUACAAUGGUACAAAACAUGGCUUACAGAA
rnacentral:RNase_P_RNA from 1 species